rnacentral:rRNA from 1 species
GUCCACACCGUAAACGUUGGGCGCUAGGUGUGGGAUCCAUUCCACGGGUUCCGUGCCGCAGCUAACGCAUUAAGCGCCCCGCCUGGGGAGUACGGCCGCAAGGCUAAAACUCAAAGGAAUUGACGGGGCCCGCACAAGCGGCGGAGCAUGCGGAUUAAUUCGAUGCAACGCGAAGAACCUUACCUGGGUUUGACAUACGCCGGAAAGCCACAGAGAUGUGGCCCCUUUUAGUCGGUGUACAGGUGGUGCAUGGCUGUCGU